GCGGGCCCGAGCACUUACCC
rnacentral:misc_RNA from 1 species